rnacentral:lncRNA from 1 species
UUGGGUUAGAAAGAGAACACAAUUCAUACACCACAGAACAAACAAACUAGACUACAGAGAAGGAGCCGAUCUUGAAACAACUGUAGAUGUUUCUUGUUCUUGACUUCUGGGUUUGUCUUCCGUUUUCUUGAAGUACACAAAGGUAAAUUACACAUAAUUUUGCUGUAGGAAUGUUUUGGGUGCUCAUGAUCAAUUAUUCUAAAGGCUAGGAGAACAUGGUCGAUGACAAAGCUUCGGAAUGAAGACACGACGUGAAGGCACUCAAAAGAUGAAGAUGAUCAAGUUGUCGCUGGCCAUCAUCAACACCACAAGGAUCUUAAGCUUUGAAGAUUAAGUCAUUCACGAGCAUAACUCAAGGGGGAGCUUAUGUUAAGGGGGAGUUUGUCAACACACUUCCUACAUGAUACGGGUAGUUUGUUGAUACACUCUCUGCUUUCAAGACGUGAAGACUUUAAAGAUCCUCCGACAUUGAAGACUUAAAAGGACAUCAGAGUCUUGAAGACAUGAAGAUCAAUGAUGAUCAAGAUCGAGACAAAUCUGCACCCAUCGAAGAUCGAGACAAAGCUACAGCCAAGGGGGAGUUUGUUGGUGCACUUGUGUCUGUACUUUGUCUGUAUUCUGUCACGAUGUAAAACGAUGUCCUUGUUAGUCCUGUAAGUUGACCAAGUCAACCGUCCUCCUGGUUUGACUUGGCCAAACAGUUAGAAUUAUAGAUGUAAUUGUCUGUCUCGAAGGAUGAGAGAUCGAAGGAUGAUGUAGAUCCUUCGAUCUCCUCGAAAGAUAUGCUUCGAUUGAUGGACCUCGAAAGAUCAUCCUUCGAGGUCCUUGUGAAUCCUUCGAUGGCUUUGUGAUCGAUAGAUGAUCCUUCGACCAUCUAUCGGAUCCUUCGGACAAGACAACCAGUGCUGGGUAUAUAUACCCAUGCAGUGUGUUCAUUUGGGUCAGACACUUAGAGACAGACACAUCCGAGAGUUUGAGAGCAUUCUGUCCAGGAACACACACACACACUAGAGGGUUUGCAAAACUGAUUUGUAAACAUUGUGCUUGUAACCGGAACCUUUCAUUCGCAUUAAUACAAGUGGUGUUAAUCGGUG